UACAGAGGCCUCGAGCGUUAGGCGGAAUCACUGGGCUUAAAGCGUGUGUAGGCGGACUUCUAAGUACCUUGUGAAAUCCCACGGCUCACCCGUGGAACUGCUCGGUAUACUGGUUGUCUUGAGCCUUCUAGGGCGAGUGGAACAAAUGGUGGAGCGGUGAAAUGCGUAGAUAUCAUUUGGAACGCCAAUGGUGAAAACAACUCGCUGGGGAAGUGCUGACGCUGAGACACGAAAGCCAGGGGAGCGAACGGG
rnacentral:rRNA from 1 species